CCUGGUAGGCUACAGUCCAUGGGUUGGAAAGAGUCAGAUACGACUGAGCGACUUCACUUUCACUUUCUGUCUGCCCACAGGAAGAGAAGGGCUCUGUGUCCAGCCAUGCAGUUGGGCAGGAAUGGGCUUCUCUGCAGUCCUCCCUUUUCUCAGAAACAGCCCUUUGGGAAAGGGACCAAUCAGAGGCUAACAGAGGAGGACGCUCCAGAUAAGAAUCCAGCAGAGGGAGCACCAUCAGCAUUCACAGGCAGCUGAGGCCCCAGACAAGGGUCAGGACCAGGACAAGAAUGGGAGGGAAAGAUGGAAGGAUGAGGUGGAGGGUCCACAUGCAUUUACAAGUGUUUGGCAUCAUCCAGAUCAGUCCUUUCUGCCCGCACCCUCCUCCUCUCUCUUCCUUGGCUCUUGGUCCUUGUGUUUCACAGUUUCAGUUGGCUGCCCUGGCUCCCAGGGUCCUGCAGCUUCGAGGCAGAGAAGGACACAGAGGCCAGCCAGCUGUCCUCUCCCUCCUUCCCUUACAGCAGGAGCCCCCAGACCCCUCAGCUGUCUUCCCCUGUGUGUCAUUCAGCAGGACAGGGUCAUACAGACACCCUUCAACAUAGAGCAGCCCAGAAAACACAUCCCUGAUGUUCAGGCCCUGAGAAGAGAGGCAGAAGGGUCCAGGGUGAAGGGUCAUUAUGAGAACUAAAAGCGAGUGAAUGCCUACCAAGCACUUGGAAUGGUGCAAAGAGAGAAGUCAUCGACCACGAUAGCUAAUACAUAUUAGAUACUGCAUUUUUCUUUUUCAUGAUUUAAAUUUUUUGUUAUUAUUUAUUUCUUACUGGGAAAAAAUAAUGAUUUCAUUUGUUUGUAUACUUUUUCUUAUACCUUUCCCCACUCUCUCCUAAUAUCAUUUUUUUAUCACUAAGUUUGUACCCUCUUUUAGAAAACUUUGUAAUUGUAAGCCCUUUGUUUACUCCUUUAUUUCUUAAGCUCUCAACUGAAGCCAGGAUUUCUUGACUCUCUGUUUUGUAAAAUGAAAUAUUAAUCCUCAUCCUCCCUUCAGUGCUUCAGCUCCCAACUUAUAGCAGUGUGCCUUAAUUUUUAUAGUGA
ensembl:lncRNA